AGGACCGAGUCCUGGAAAGGAAGGCGCUCGCCAGCGUGCACACGGCUGAGCCUGGACUCCGAGGCUGGCCUUUCCUUGCUCCGCCUGCUGGGAACGAGUGUGAAGGUGACCUGAAUGUGAUUUAGAGAACCCUGAAGUGUCUACAACUGCACAUAAAAUUGAAGCCCACCCUCCAAGCCUGUUCACUCCCCCGGCCCCCAGCCCACCACCUUCCUUUCUUUCUAGAAGAAACCACAACUCGGAAUUUGCCUUUUUCCUCCGUCUUUUAUGCGAGGAACCGGCCGCAGGAAGACAAAGUCCACUUGUCAGCAAUAUUCUGGGCCCUUGGAAAAAGAUGCUGCUGGGAGAUGGUCGAAGGCCCGCGGUGUUGACUCCGAAGCAAGGCUGUUGACCGCGUGUGGGUAAUGACUGCCCACCUUCCCGGAACCCCAGCCAGGCCUGUGUUCCAGGCACUCGGGGCCGCUCCCCAUCGUCCGCAUCAUCAUCUGUGCUCCACAUCCUGUCAGAUCAGCAGCAGCGUGAGAUUCUCACGGGAGCAUGGGCCCUGUUGUGAACUGUGUGUGAGGGAUCUAGGCUGCUCGCUCCUCAUGAGAAUCUAAUGCCUGAUGAUCGGUCACUGUCUCCCAUCACCCUUAGAUAGGACCAUCUAGCUGCAGGAAAACAAGCUCAGGACUCCCACGGAUUCUACACUAUGGGGGACAGAAAUAUAUGACUUAAAACGUGCAACCAGGACUCUUGGGAAGGGUGGAAGGAAAGAGCGCCGAGAGAAGACGGGAUGCUUGGGAAGACAGCUGAAAACGGCGGGAUGGGACAGGGAGAUCCAGAGAGCAACGAUCCUGAAUCCUUCCCGACACGCCAGCUGGCUCUUCUGCAGGCAGCUCCCCCGCUGCCCCGGGGGGCCACCCAGGCCGCACGUGGCCCCAGCGCACGCACAGGUGGGUCUGGUCUUGUCACGCUGUGCAGAUCUGGCGUGGGAGGGGUCCCUUUCACUGUGAUACAUCAGGUGGAGCCUCCUGCAGGAACCUCCCCAUGGCAAGUCUUCAGUGCAAGCCUGGACCACCUGGCACCCACAGAGACGAUUGUCUUUUGGCCUGGAGCAGCCAGGACAUCUCCUGUCACCGCUGGGGACAGCUUGAGAUGUCCACGCGUGACACAAACCCACACUGAGGCGGCUUGCACCACUCCUGUUUGUAUUUACGCUCUUUUUUUUUUUUUUUUUUUAAGGGCAACGUGGGCGUUUUUUUUCUCUUCUUGUUGGGACACUAUCAUGAUUUUUUCUUCCAAACAAUACAAGAAAUAAAUAGAACAGUUGUCUUAAAUGCAAAUGCAACUGAAACGCAAAUUUAACAAAAACAUAUGAUUGUCUGGUAAACGGCAGCAGGGACAGCAGGAUUCAUGGGGGGGACGGGGGUAUUUGGCACAUAAAAAAUCGCCCCACUCCCACACAACACACAACCUUAUUACACGGUUUUGGUCCUUCACCAGAUACUUAUAUUAACAUUAUUUCUUCACAAUAAGAAUGUCUAAUGCCAAAAAUACUGUUAAGGAGGAAAUAAAAUAAGAAAAGAAAUGAAUUAGAAAAAAUUACAAGUUAUAUACAGAUUAAGGUAAAUUCCAUCAGGGAAAAAUUAUUAUUUGAAAUUGGCCCCUAUGGGAAUAAUUUAAAGCCCAUCCGAGUGGGGAAGAAGUUGCAUCCCAAGAGAGGGAGGUGGCCGGGCCCCGGGGGUUGUGCUGUCUCUGCUGCUUGUGGCAGGUUCCCCCGACGCCCUUCUGUUCUCAAGCUGUGUCUCACCAAGAACACACAGGAAGAGUGACGUGGUGACUGUGUCGUCCAUCCGGAGUCUCAGGCACAGGUACGGCUUGGUGGCCUGGAGCCAUCCGCUGGGAUCGCUCCCCAGGGCAGCCACGUGGAGGACACCGGAGAGGGGGACAGGUGGGAGUUGGGAGACCCAGGACAUGGCCAAGGCCCUGCCUUCAGAAGACGGUGGUGGGUUCCGGCGUGGGGUGGCCAAGGCAGGAACAGAGGUGGGAAGGAAGGUGGGUGCCCAGCCACAUCUCUGCAUGGUGGACUCAAGCCAUGGGCCCUCGACUUCCCCAUACAAUUGAGGGGUCUUAAGUGGGGGCCUGUGGAUUCCUCUGAAGGCCACGUGGUGGCCCUGGCACCAAUUCCAUGUCACAUGAUGGCAGGCAUGCUCCCCAUCCCAGCCUCGGGCAGGCCUGCAGCCCAGGGCACCCUGUCUAACACUUCCUCAGCAGUCUGCACGGUUCACGGGUGUGGUCCCAUGCCUCUUGUUCUGCCUCGGGGCACCCAGCGUCACCUUGGUGUAUACAAAUAGGGACAGAGAUAGAAAAUUUCUCCAUUAUCUACAGUAUAAAGAACACACCCAGGCACAGUGCGGGUUCCCAGGCAGACUCAGGUUUGCAAAUGAGCUCAAAUUUCAAAGCAAUGCAAAAUUACUUUUAAAAAACAAUUUGCAAGUCAUUUUUUGAUUUUUAAAAAAUACUGUCUAUUUUUAAAACCACAUGCUUAAAUAGACUCUGUAGUCAAUACGAUUACCAAAAGGGUUAUUCUUGUCAUUUCAUUAUAAAAAUCAUUUGAGUGAUCUCUCUCUUUUGAGCACACCCGUCUAUCCAUUCCCUUCUGCGACCCCAUGCAGGCACCCAGCAGUGGCCACCAGCUUCUGUCUCAGCGGAGCGUCCACCUGUCCACGGGUUGAUUCUGUGUCUCAGCAGAGCGUCCACCUGCGCACUGACUGAUUCUGCGAGGCAGCUCCGUUGGCUGUCUUUGGACGGCCGCCUGCAGGGCCAUCACUGAACAGUAUUCUCAAGACCAAUCCUUGGAGAUGACUCCGACGUGGCUCCAGUGAUGUUCAACCAAGCGUCCAAAGAGCCCUGGGAGGGGGUGUGGAGAGGAGUGUCUUCGGAAAGGGACAGCAUCAUUGCAUAUGCCUGGCGGGGAGGGGAUGACACACACACAGGACAGGCAGGUGAGCACGUGGGCAGGGCGGGCCAUCCCAGACAGGCAGUGCAUGGGCAGGGCGGGCUGUUUCACACAGGCAGGUGAGCGUGCGGGCAGGACAGACCGUCCCGGGACGGCAGGGCUGAGCCUCGUCUGUUCCCAGCCUCCCGCGGCCCUGGCCUGGCUCAACCUUGCCCUGGUCCACAGCAGGAAGAGGGAGCAAAAGGGACUAAGACACCCAGAUUCUCUCUGCAGCCUGGAAAAAGAAGAUAUGAGCAGCCGUGACAGUGGGAGGGAGGAAGGCCACCCGCUGCUCCGAGUGAUGCCAGGACACUGGGGUGCCAGUGCGGGGCCUCCUGUGCACACCAGCUCCCUUGGCUGCUUUGGGGUCCUCCCCCUCGAAGCGUCCUCUCCUUCCUACCCCUUCCCCCCAAGUUUCCUCCACUUGGUGAUCAGCAGAAACUACAGACACGUGUCUGGUCUAAGAGGGCCCUGGGAACUGGGGGUCAACAAGAGCCACCCCUGCCAGGGGAUGCCUGUUUUGGUGACUGUGGGGACACCAAAGAGCUGCCUCUGGGACAGGGACGUGCAGCAUUUCUGGGCCGAUGGGAUUCUUAGGAAGUGCAGGUAUGUUUCCAGGCAUUAGCUCAUGGGACACCCUUCUGCCCCCAGCACAGGGCAGGUGGGGAUGGGACUCGGGGAGCGUCGUGUGCGGGUUAAGGGCAAGGAAGGUGGGGAAGCCCAACGCUGUCCCACCCGAGUUAACACUCCAGACGGAAUUAGUAAAAAGACAAAGACAGACACGCAGACGGCUUUUGCUGAGACCUGGGGCGGACCUGUUUCCUCUGGGAGGGCUGUAGAGAGCUGAAUGAGACCCCCAGUCCCUACAGACUGGAGAGAUGCGUGGGUAGGGCCCUGGGGCCACCUGCCCUAAGGAGAGAAGCCGAGAAGCACCUGGGGCCAACCCUGGCGCCCUUGCUGACCUCAUAGCUCCAGCCGGGAAGCAGAGACUGCCCGGUUGCACAGCUCUUCCCGUGGGAAAAGCCCGGACUGCAGGCCACUGGGGCCCAGUUCAGAGAGGGAGCGAGAUGAAGGUGGCUGGGCGGGCCAGAAACCUGCUCACAGACCUUUCCCACUGAGGACCACAGGAAGGUGAGCUGCCCGUGUCCACGAGUGAGCUCCCUCGUGAGGGUCCCGCCAGGGUCAUCGGCUCUCAGCCCCUCCCUGCUGCACCCCAGCUUGCGGGAGGGCGGUGGUCGCUGGGGCCUAUCUGGAGGAUGCAGCACGGGGGCGUCAGUAGUGAUCAGAGCUUCCCCAGGCCUGGGAGGGCCACGGCGGGAGCUGCUCUGCGGAGGUCGAGCCCCUUCCCAAAAGUCGGCAUCGGCUCCAAAGCUAACAGACCGCCUUCGUGGUCCUCAGCACACCUGCACCAAUGACCGGGGAGAGGGAGGGCCUGCUGUUAGCAGCCUGGCCACGGCCGCCUCUCUGAUGCCGCAAGGCCUGCUCCGGGCCUGCAUGCACGCCACUGCAUCUCUGCCAGCCACAUGCACAGGGAGACAGACACACGGACACACAGACGCCUGGACGGGAAGCCACACGGAUGCAGGAGAGUGACGGACAGAGGUCAGGGAGGCGGUCAUCGUCAUCCUCCUCCUCCACGUCCUCCUGCUUCUCGCUGGCUAGGCCUGGACACUGGGAGCUGCCGUCCACAUCCUGCAUCUCCGGCCUGAAAUGACACGGGAGGAGAUUGGCCAAGUUCAGGCGUCUCUCUCCUUGCCAUGGACCCCCAAAGGCUGGUGACUCGGCUCUGCCCCCACUGCCUCCCCCAACGACCCUCAGCCCCCUUCCUGAGGGAGCUCCUACCGGUCCCCGAGCCCAGCCACUGACUCUGCAGAGAGGCACGGAGGCCUUGGGGCGAUCCCAGGAGAGGAGGACGAGUGCUCAGGGUGGUGGGGGUGGGGCAAGGCCCAGCAGCAGGGGGCUGUUGUGGCCGUGAGGACACCAGGGCCAGGCAGUGUUGGGAAGGAAGAGGUGGGCAGUCCUGUGGGGAAGCUGGUCCUGCACUGGUGCGGGGACUGGGCACUGCACGAGAGGCACCCUCAGGGCAGACUUUGGGGGGAAGGAUUUCAGACUGACAACUUGAGGAUGUGAACACUGGCCGGAGAGCCAGGAGCCCCGGAGGGCUCUCUGGGAUCUGGAGAGUGAGGGCCCAAAGCCUGUUGUCAGCAGUCUGAAAGCACCAGGACAAGCUUGCUUCAGAGCCUGAGGGGACUCUCCUGCAGCCCAGGGCUCUCCUGAUGUCCCCCAGGGUCACUGCAGCCUGGCAGGACCCCUCCACUCCGGUUCCUCAGUAUUAAAAAAAAGAACAAAGUGUGCAUGGGCGUGGCUGAGCGUUCUCAUUUCUUUCAGGAAGAGCCAAUAGAGUUUGGCUCAUCUUCAUGUUCAUGGCCAAGAGCUGUGUCUUGGGUGGGCUGGGCCCCAGGGGAGCCGAGGGCCCCCGGGCAGGUGCUGGACAUGCUGGUAGACGGGCCCAAGCAAAGGGCAGGCACGCAGUUCCUAGACUGCCCACACCCAGAGCCCCAGGGCCACUCUUCCUUGUCCUCACUCUGCCUGGGGGCACUGCCCCCCGCUGCCCUGGGAGGUACCCACAGUGUGGGGGAGAUGCAGGAGUCCUGCUCUUGGCAUCCAAGCAAGAAAGCGACAGCGUCUCCCAGUGACUGACCUCCAUGUCUCAGACUCGCCUGUGUGCACAGGAACUGGGCUUGGGGAGGCCGUAAUCUCCUGGCUCUCCACAGAUGCCACGUCUCUGUCUCUUGUCUUUCUGCCUUCCAGGAUGGACAGAACCUCAGCAGGCUUCAGGGCUUGAGGACAGUUCCUCGGUCCUGGUUGCCUAUGUUGGGUGCUGGGAGCGUCUUGUACACACACCCAUCUCCUCAGCCAUGGAGCUGCUGGGAUCUGGGUCCUGGUUCUCACCCUGGUUGUUGGUGAGGUGCCCUUGGGUGGGGUUGUCUUUGGGGCCUGU